rnacentral:rRNA from 1 species
AGUGAACGCUGGCGGUAGGCCUAACACAUGCAAGUCGAACGGCAGCACAGUAAGAGCUUGCUCUUACGGGUGGCGAGUGGCGGACGGGUGAGGAAUACAUCGGAAUCUACUUUUUCGUGGGGGAUAACGUAGGGAAACUUACGCUAAUACCGCAUACGACCUACGGGUGAAAGCAGGGGAUCUUCGGACCUUGCGCGAUUGAAUGAGCCGAUGUCGGAUUAGCUAGUUCGCGGGGUAAAGGCCCACCAAGGCGACGAUCCGUAGCUGGUCUGAGAGGAUGAUAGGCGACACUAGAACUGAGACACGGUCCAGGCUACUACGGGAGGCAGCAGUGGGGAAUAUUGGACAAUGGGCGCAAGCCUGAUCCAGCCAUACCGCGUGGGUGAAGAAGGCCUUCGGGUUGUAAAGCCCUUUUGUUGGGAAAGAAAAGCAGCAGGUUAAUACCCCGCUGUUCUGACGGUACCCAAAGAAUAAGCACCGGCUAACUUCGUG